rnacentral:rRNA from 2 species
GCCGCGUGAGUGAAGAAGGCUUUCGGGUCGUAAAACUCUGUUGUUGGAGAAGAAUGGUCGGCAGAGUAACUGUUGUCGGCGUGACGGUAUCCAACCAGAAAGCCACGGCUAACUACGUGCCAGCAGCCGCGGUAAUACGUAGGUGGCAAGCGUUAUCCGGAUUUAUUGGGCGUAAAGCGAGAGCAGGCGGUUUUUUAAGUCUGAUGUGAAAGCCCUCGGCUUAACCGAGGAAGUGCAUCGGAAACUGGGAAACUUGAGUGCAGAAGAGGACAGUGGAACUCCAUGUGUAGCGGUGAAAUGCGUAGAUAUAUGGAAGAACACCAGUGGCGAAGGCGGCUGUCUGGUCUGUAACUGACGCUGAGGCUCGAAAGCAUGGGUAGCGAACAGGAUUAGAUACCCUGGUAGUCCAUGCCGUAAACGAUGAAUGCUAGGUGUUGGAGGGUUUCCGCCCUUCAGUGCCGCAGCUAACGCAUUAAGCAUUCCGCCUGGGGAGUACGACCGCAAGGUUGAAACUCAAAGGAAUUGACGGGGGCCCGCACAAGCGGUGGAGCAUGUGGUUUAAUUCGAAGCAACGCGAAGAACUUUACCAGGUCUUGACAUCUUUUGAUCACCUGAGAA